rnacentral:misc_RNA from 1 species
GAUGAAGAACGUAGCGAAAUGCGAUACGUAAUGUGAAUUGCAGAAUUCAGUGAAUCAUCGAAUCUUUGAACGCAUAUUGCGCUCUUUGGUAUUCCGAAGAGCAUGCUUGUUUGAGUAUCAGUAAACACCUCAAAACUUUUGAUUUUUUUUUAAAAAAAAAAGGUUUUGGACUUGAGCAAUCCCAACACCAAUCUUUUUUAGAUCGGUGGCGGGUUGCUUGAAAUGCAGGUGCGGCUGGACAUUCUCCUGAGCUAAAAGCAUAUUUAUUUAGUCCCGUCAAACGGAUUAUUACUUUUGCUGCAGCUAAUAUAAAGGGAGUUUGACCGUAUUGGCUGACUGAUGCAGGAUUUCACAAGGGUCGGCAACGAUUCUUGUAAAACUCGAUCUCAAAUCAAGUAAGACUACCCGCUGAACUUAAGCAUAUCAAUAAGCGGAGGA